GACGAACGCUGGCGGCGUGCCUAACACAUGCAAGUCAGGGAGAAAGAGGUAGCAAUAUCUCGAGUAAACCGGCGAACGGGUGAGUAACACGUAGGUAACCUGCCCUCGAGUUGGGAAUAACUUCGAGAAAUCGAGGCUAAUACCAGAUAAUGCAACGAACCCGCAUGGGUUUGUUGUUAAAGUUCCGCGCAAGCGGAACGCUUGAGGAUGGACCUGCGGCCGAUUAGCUAGUUGGCGGAGUAACAGCCCACCAAGGCGACGAUCGGUAGCCGACCUGAGAGGGGUGACCGGCCACACUGGGACUGAGAUACGGCCCAGACU
rnacentral:rRNA from 1 species